rnacentral:rRNA from 1 species
UCCCAGACUCCUACGGGAGGCAGCAGUGGGGAAUAUUGCACAGUGGGGGAAACCCUGAUGCAGCGACGCCGCGUGAGUGAAGAAGUAUUUCGGCAUGUAAAGCUCUAUCAGCAGGGAAGAAAAUGACGGUACCUGACUAAGAAGCCCCGGCUAACUACGUGCCAGCAGCCGCGGUAAUACGUAGGGGGCAAGCGUUAUCCGGAUUUACUGGGUGUAAAGGGAGCGUAGACGGCAUGGCAAGUCAGAUGUGAAAGCCCGGGGCUCAACCCCGGGACUGCAUUUGAAACUGUCAGGCUGGAGUGCAGGAGAGGUAAGUGGAAUUCCUAGUGUAGCGGUGAAAUGCGUAGAUAUUAGGAGGAACACCAGUGGCGAAGGCGGCUUACUGGACUGUAACUGACGUUGAGGCUCGAAAGCGUGGGGAGCAAACAGGAUUAGAUACCCCCGUA